AACGAACGCUGGCGGCAUGCCUAACACAUGCAAGUCGAACGUGACCUUCGGGUCUAGUGGCGCACGGGUGCGUAACGCGUGGGAACCUGCCCUUAGGUUCGGAAUAACUCCCCGAAAGGGGUGCUAAUACCGGAUAAUGUCUUCGGACCAAAGAUUUAUCGCCUUUGGAUGGGCCCGCGUUGGAUUAGCUAGUUGGUAGGGUAAAAGCCUACCAAGGCGACGAUCCAUAGCUGGUCUGAGAGGAUGAUCAGCGACACUGGGACUGAGACACGGCCCAGACUCCUACGGGAGGCAGCAGUGGGGAAUAUUGGACAAUGGGCGAAGGGCUGAUCCAGCAAUGCCGCGUGAGUGAUGAAGGCGUUAGGGUUGUAAAGCUCUUUUAACCGGGAUGAUAAUGACAGUACCGGGAGAAUAAGCUCCGGCUAACUCCGUG
rnacentral:rRNA from 1 species